rnacentral:rRNA from 1 species
AGCGAACGCUGGCGGCAGGCCUAACACAUGCAAGUCGAACGGAUCCUUCGGGAUUAGUGGCGGACGGGUGAGUAACACGUGGGAACGUGCCCUUUGGUUCGGAACAACUCAGGGAAACUUGAGCUAAUACCAGAUGUGCCCUUCGGGGGAAAGAUUUAUCGCCAUUGGAGCGGCCCGCGUCUGAUUAGCUAGUUGGUGAGGUAACGGCCCACCAAGGCGACGAUCAGUAGCUGGUCUGAGAGGAUGAUCAGCCACACUGGGACUGAGACACGGCCCAGACUCCUACGGGAGGCAGCAGUGGGGAAUCUUGCGCAAUGGGCGAAAGCCUGACGCAGCCAUGCCGCGUGAAUGAUGAAGGUCUUAGGAUUGUAAAAUUCUUUCAGCGGGGACGAUAAUGACGGUACCCGCAGAAGAAGCUCCGGCUAACUUCGUG